rnacentral:rRNA from 1 species
UACGUAGGCAGCGAGCGUUGUUCGGAAUUACUGGGCGUAAAGAGUGUGUAGGCGGUGCUCUAAGUUCGGUGUGAAAUCUCCCGCUUAACUGGGAGGGUGCGCCGGAAACUGGAGUGCUCGAGCGUGGGAGAGGAAGAGCGGAAUUCCUGGUGUAGCGGUGAAAUGCGUAGAUAUCAGGAGGAACACCUGCGGUGUAGACGGCUUUCUGGACCAUUGCUGACGCUGAGACACGAAAGCGUGGGUAGCAAACAGG